AUUGAACGCUGGCGGCAGGCCUAACACAUGCAAGUCGAGCGGAUGAAGGGAGCUUGCUCCUGGAUUCAGCGGCGGACGGGUGAGUAAUGCCUAGGAAUCUGCCUGGUAGUGGGGGAUAACGUCCGGAAACGGGCGCUAAUACCGCAUACGUCCUGAGGGAGAAAGUGGGGGAUCUUCGGACCUCACGCUAUCAGAUGAGCCUAGGUCGGAUUAGCUAGUUGGUGGGGUAAAGGCCUACCAAGGCGACGAUCCGUAACUGGUCUGAGAGGAUGAUCAGUCACACUGGAACUGAGACACGGUCCAGACUCCUACGGGAGGCAGCAGUGGGGAAUAUUGGGCAAUGGGCGAAAGCCUGAUCCAGCCAUGCCGCGUGUGUGAAGAAGGUCUUCGGAUUGUAAAGCACUUUAAGUUGGGAGGAAGGGCAGUAAGUUAAUACCUUGCUGUUUUGACGUUACCAACAGAAUAAGCACCGGCUAACUUCGCG
rnacentral:rRNA from 1 species